GGGGACGACCGGAAGCAAGCGCUCCCGUGCCGAGGGAGGGCGACUGACAACUCCGCGGCGCGGGUGAGCGAAGAGCCCCAGGGCGCCGUCGUGCCAAGUCUGGGUCCGAGGCUUGGCCCGGCACAGCCCUCCAGGUGCAGACUUUUAGGGCCCCGCGGACACACGCUCACACACUCCCUUUUUGGUGUGACCCCAGUGCUACAGCAGGGAUGCAGCUGCUUGGAGCCGGGGCUUGUGGCUGCCCUUCGCAUCCCAUGGAUGGUCUACGGAGAACCCCGCUCGUGGGUUCAGCUAAUGCCCAGAACCGUAUGACCUGAUACUUACUGUCUCGGUGUUUCCAGUGAACCUCCUGAAGCUUCCAGAGGCCAAGCAUCGCUCAGCUGCUCAAGCUGUAGGACCCGGAGCAGAGCCGGUGCUUUCUAACUCCACCUGCCAGUCCCGUCUGCCCACGCGGCGAAGGCAGGAGAGUCCCCACUCUCUCGGGGCAGUCGCUUCGGCGGGAUGAGCACACGUCACCUUGGAAAACCGCUGUGGGAGUCCAUCCACCAUGAGGGUGUCUGUGGAGCACUCUGCAAAUACGGCUUCUUAACUGUUCAUUGUUACCCAGUGUUACUUUUGUCUAAAGCUCUUUGAAAAGUCAAACGUGAAGGUGUGCAUGAAGAAAAAUCACAGCCUGGCCCUGAUUAAAUAUUCAUUUAUCAAACAUCUUUCUGGUAUGAUACGCUUUACCCAGAAACUUGAGUCUCUCCGUCCGUUUUUUUUCUCCCACCCUCAGGAACAACGCAAAAGUCUCCAAUGAACCAAAUGCCCUUGAAAGUAAUGGAGGAUGUCUCUUUUUCUCCCUCCCUCCCUACUGGACUGAUGAUAAGGUUAUCCUUAAGGUGAACUACCUGGAAGAAAGAUAGAGGGAAGAAAAAGGAAAUGCUCCAGGAGAAAUAGGAAGGAUACAAAAUGACACACUGUAACAGUAGCCAGAGCCUGGGAGCACAGCAAAGUCUUUUUACUCAGAUAACCUGAACUUCCCCAGUCAAGCCUGGAGUCAAGGGGAGGGAGAAGAAGGAUGCCAGGAGAAAAAGACAACCGCCAGGUGAGAAAAUGGAGACUCGGACAAAGUUUAAGAGAAGUGUUCCGGUCACUCAGCUAGUAAGUGGCAGAGCUGGGAUUUGAAGGCAGAUUUGGAGAGUGUAUUUGGGCUACACUGACCAAAUAUGACACUCCUAAAUUUCACACUGGGAGUUCCAGAGAGUACCUCAAGGAGAAAUGCGUUUGUCAUCGGAAGCAGCCAAAACUGAGAGUUUUCCUACUUGAUGUAAACCACGCAGCAGUGACUCCUACAGCCUGGAAAGCCUGAGGUGAAAAAUGUGAGCAUCAGCUUCCAUGUUUGUCACGGCUCAGCUGAAGAACUAGACUCCAAUGGAUUUGUCAUGGGUUACCAAAUCUAUGCUGCUGAAAGCAAGACCUGUCUCAAGAUGAUAUAGCAGGAUGCUGUAUGUGUUCCAGUUCCACCAAAGUUCUAAUUCUUACCCUCUCUUGCUUCAAACAUAUUUUCUCCCUUUAUGAUCUCCCCUUUGCGGUCUCACUAAUAGGAGUUUCCCAUAAUAUAUGUUUUACAGGUUCUCUAAUGUGGCGUUAGACUGCCACCAUAUCCUGGGCAGGCCCGAACAAGAUCCACGAUGGGGUGGGCAGUCACAAAGGGUGUCACCCUAAGUCUGUAGCUGUCCAUGUUCUAUUUGUAUGUCUGUGGAGUAUAAUAUGCCUUUAUAAAUCAUGAAAUUUAAAGAUAAAUUGGGCUUAUGUGUGUUAAUAUAGAAAGAUCCUCCAAAUAUAUUAGCUUUAAAAACCAACAUACAGAAUAGUGUAUAUAUUAUGUUAUUGUGUGUAUGAAAUUCAAAUAAACACUAGCAUACGUAUGAUGAUCUGUCCAGAUAUACAAAAACAAAUGGUGGGCAGGAAGACAGACAAGUGUAGGAGAGACAUUUUUCACUGAUUGAAUAUUUCAUAAGAAAUAGUAUUUAAUAUUUUAAAAUAAUGAAUAUGUAUGGAUUACCCAGUCAUAAAUAAAUAAACAUUAAAAGCAGUUAUGAAAGUCUAAAUCAAUCCAAUGGUUUGGGGAACUGAAUAAAAAGAAUAAAUUUGAGAAAGCAUGCAGUACUCAGUAUGACACAGUUUGAUAGCUUCUAAAUAUUAGAAAUAGAGGGACAGAAAAAGUCAGCGACAGUCAUAAGGUAAGUUCCAUGAAAGCAAAUAGUGUAAUCUCUUUCAUUCAUUGAUAGCGUGUAUAGACUAUCUCUAUAACUUAUCAAUUAUUAUUAUGUUGAAAAAAAAUAUUUUUUGUCCUUCACUAUUUACGUUAUUUUUAGAAGUUGGUAAUAUCUUUCCUUUUUUAUGUAAUUAUUUCACUAAAAGAUUCCUUUAUUUUUAAUUUGGCCUACUUGUUACCUUCAACUGCAGAGAACAUGUUAACAAAAUAUGAAACCACACCAAGGAAAUAAAGAAUUAAACAUAAUGUUAUUUAGUUUAUCAAACAUUAAAUAGUUGGGACUUAAAGGUCUUUAUGAAUCAGGGCACCUGGGUGGCUCAGUUGGCCUAGCAUCUGACUCUUAGUUUCUACUCAGGUCGUGAUCUCAGGGUCAUGGGAUUGAGCCCCAGUGUCAGGCUCUAAGCUCAGUGCAGAGUCUGCUUGAGAUUUUCUCUCCCUCUGUCUCUCCAGCUUGUUCUCUCUCUCUCUCUGUCUCUCUCUCUCUCAAAUACAUGAAAUCUUUUUUUAAAAGGUCUUCAUGAAUCUAUGGCAAACUAGAAAAAUG